ACUGUGUGGUAGAGCUCAUGUGAGCUGGGU
rnacentral:piRNA from 1 species